AAAAGUCCCCACGUUUAUCAAAACAUCAAUUUAUCAUUGAUUUCCUCACGAGUGACAGAGAUUUAUGUCCUGGUUUUGGUUCUCCGUGUCCUGGAUGGAGCUCGGAUGAAUAAUACGAGUGUCAGCGUUUACCAUGAGCAGCAGGACGUUGCUGGAGACGGCGACGUUAAACGGCUGGAAGCGGUUGAUGGCGGAGAAAGCUGACAGCUCCACCAGUGUGUGAGGAUCUCUGAGGACAGACACAGAGUGAGACAGGUUUCCCAGCAACUCUACGCUGCAGUAAAUACCGUCAUUGUAAUUUAUUCUGUCUUCUGUCUGGAUCUCAUUCAAAGAUAAAUGGAAUUACAGGUUUAUUACCUGGCGAUGUCUCUGGUUCCCAGUGUGCAGUAUCUGACAGGGAUUCUCUCUCUGUCUCCUCUCCUGUGCACCACACUAACAUCUGGAACACACACACCACUGGAUUUUUCCCCAAAAUGCACAAUCUCUUCUCAGCAGGCAGCUUAGUUUUGUGCACCUUUUUA